ACUUUCAAUCAGUCAACUUAGCAGGCAUGGCUGCUGUGUCACAUGUGCCUCAGGAGGUGGCAGAGGGGAGAGAGGCUCUGUCUACACUCAGUGUUCUGACUGUGAACAUUGAAUGACACAUAGCCUGACACC